CGCCGCGUCGCCGCCAUUUUUUAAAGGGUCCGCAGCCUGACUCUGCGGAGUAAGGGGGGGUGGAGCGGGGGAGUCGGCCUCGCCAGCGCGCAUGCGCGAGGCCCGAGCCGCCGCUUGGGUCACAGUGAAAGCCACCGUUGCCCGGGGAUGGGUCCCUGACACUUGGGGAAGUAGGAGCCCUGUGUGAUCGUGCGUCUGAGUCUGGGCUGAGACCAGUCCUGGCCAGGGCAGUUACCAGGACGGUCUCCGGAGGCCGGGAUUCGCGGAGGGUCCAGCAGCAGGAAGAAACCCCAGGAGGAAGAAACCUCAGACAGAUCGCCGGCGAGGCAGCGCGGGAUCCCAGCCUCAGGCGUGCGCGGACGGUGUGCGGGUGGAAACCCCCUUCCCAUGGGGUGAAGCGCAGUCUGCUCCAGAGACCCACUGUUAGGGUCGGGGAUGUCACAGAAAUUAACAGGGCAGCCAAUUCCCAUCCAGAGGGGCCCAGGAUGACCCCGAACCCUCUAGCUCAGCCCCAAGCUCGGGCCAGGGAGUGAAGCCUUUGUCCCCAAGCAACAGAGUGAGGGUCUGUCUCUAACCCGGUGGGCUCCAGUGAAAGGAAAAUGGCCUGGAGGUGCCCACAGGAGGGCGCCCUAGUUCUGAGACAGGUCUACGGCUCCCAGACUGCGUCCCCAUGAGUAACAGAGGGACACGCAGAGGGGCAUACUGAGUGCCUAUAGGGGACUCACAGACUGCAGAUGCACGCUGCGGAUCCAGAAGCCGGUCAGGUAAUGAGGUGCAGAGGUGUGGGGAAGACCUGGGUGCUUCCCUGGGUGCCAACCAGCCUAACCCGCCGGGGCCACCAAACAGAAGUGCUUCUGACAUUAACGCGACACACAGAAGGUGUGUAGGGUGGGUAGUGGAAGUGACCGCAGAGGCCUCUGGGGAUUGUAGUUUUGGAGCUAGAGAGGCGGGCAAGCAGUUGGCUUCGCCCACACGGUGUGCCUCUCACAUCUGCACAGCGCACACAACCAAGCUUAGGAGCCGACUGUUAAGAUGCCCCAGUGACACGGACAAGUUUCUCCUCUGCAACCCAAUGAGAGCUGCUGACCACGAGAGCAUCGCGGGACCGCCAAAGGAUUCUGGAAAAUGUGGUCCCGGGUGGCCAGUGUGCGCUGACCUUCACCUGAAGGUGAGCUGAGCUCACCAUGCAAGUCUCCACCCUGGGGUGCCCUUCCCCAAGCAGAUGCCAGGUUGGGGCAGAAGCAGUUCAGGGAGAAGCGAUGCGCUCCUGGGACUGCCGGUUUGGGGGGCAACAUCGGCCCUGUGUCCCCUAGAGUAGGAGGGUGUACCAGGAUGGGGAACCCCAAGGCCGUUUUCAGGGAGAACAAGAUUGGCUUGAGGCAAACUCCCGGAAUGGAGAUGGGGAGAGUCUGGUCGCAUUUCCCCAGGAGUUUAGGGGAUGAAGGCUGGACUUGGGUGAACAGCAAAAGAUCCCCUGGUGAUAGUGGUGGUGAGGAUCAGAGGCUUGAGCCAGAAAUUCCCGAGGUGUUUGUUUGUUUUGUUUUUUUUGAGACAGAGUCUUGAUCUGUCUCCCAGGAUGUAGUGCAAUGGCAUGCUCUUGGCUCAUUGCAACCUCCGCCUCCCAGGUUCAAGCGAUUCUCCUGCCUCAGCCUCCCAAGUAGCUGAGAUUAUAGGCACCUGCCACUGUGCCCACCUAAAUUUUUUUUGUUUUUUUGUAUUUUUAGUAGAGACGAUGUUUCACCACAUUGCCCAGCCUGGUCUCGAACUCCUGACCUCAAGUGAUCCACCUGCCUCGGCCUCCCAAAGUGCUGGGAUUACAGGCAUGAGCCCCCACACCCAGCUCAUUUUUAUCUUUUAACUUAAAGGUUUUUAUUUUUCUCUAUUUUUACUCUUACAGGUACGGCUUGAAGGAAACUUCUGGAGGGUGGGGUGGUGUUGAAGAGAAGGCACAAUUGUCACCAUUUUGUUCAACAUGGGCGUUUUCUUUGUGCAUUGAUUUGCAUUUUUAAAGGUAUUCCAUUAAAAAUAUGUUUAUCUAUUUUAAUGUUUUUUUUGGUGCCCCUUUAAAUUCUCUAUCCACAGUCCUGAGCCUUAAUACGAAGUGAGGGCCUGGCCUCUGGGCAUCAAGCAGCCAGAAAGUCCCUUAGGAGCUUUCUCUGAAUUGUUGAAUUGUGACUGAUCUUUUCCUUUCCUGACUUCCUUAAUAUCCACAAUUUCCUCGUAACCAUCCCCCCAAAGCCACACCCACAAGGCACCUCCAAGACCUAUCAUGAAGCAGAUAUUCAAAGAUUAUUUGUAAAUCUUCACACCCCACCCCUUCCAGAAUGUCUUCCAACAUCCCUUCGCCUGGAGAAAUAAAACACAAGGUUUGCAUGUUGAGUAUCAGCCUCUCCCAUUGGGUGGGUGUUUAGGAAAAAGAAUCAGCCAAGAGCCCUAUUCCAGCCCAGGUAAAUGACUUUGCCAAAGAUUUAAUAUCCACAAAUGUACAAUGCUCACUGGGAACCAAAGUCAGG
rnacentral:lncRNA from 10 species